UACGUAAGGAGCGAGCGUUAUCCGGAUUUAUUGGGCAUAAAGCGCGCGUAGGUGGUUACUUAAGUCAGAUGUUAAAUCCCCCGGCUCAACCGGGGUUCGCAUGUGAAACUGGGUAACUAGAGAACAGGAGAGGAAAGCGGAACUCACAGUGUAGCGGUGAAAUGCGUAGAUAUUGUGAGGAACACCAGUUGCGAAGGCGGCUUUCUGGUCUGUUUCUGACACUGAGGUGCGAAAGCGUGGGGAGCGAACGGG
rnacentral:rRNA from 1 species